rnacentral:hammerhead_ribozyme from 1 species
GCACCGCUGAUGAGUCCCAAACAGGACGAAAUAGCAGUCCAGUGC